AUUGAACGCUGGCGGCAUGCUUUACACAUGCAAGUCGAACGGUAACAGGCCGCAAGGUGCUGACGAGUGGCGAACGGGUGAGUAAUGCAUCGGAACGUGCCCAGUCGUGGGGGAUAACGCAGCGAAAGCUGCGCUAAUACCGCAUACGAUCUGUGGAUGAAAGCGGGGGACCGAAAGGCCUCGUGCGAUUGGAGCGGCCGAUGUCAGAUUAGGUAGGUGGUGGGGUAAAGGCCCACCAAGCCAACGAUCUGUAGCUGGUCUGAGAGGACGACCAGCCACACUGGGACUGAGACACGGCCCAGACUCCUACGGGAGGCAGCAGUGGGGAAUUUUGGACAAUGGGCGCAAGCCUGAUCCAGCAAUGCCGCGUGCAGGAAGAAGUCCUUCGGGUUGUAAACUGCUUUUGUACGGAACGAAACGGCUCUGGUUAAUACCUGGGGCUAAUGACGGUACCGUAAGAAUAAGCACCGGCUAACUACGUGCCAGCCGCCGCCGUAACAC
rnacentral:rRNA from 1 species